UCUUUUCUCUCUCACGUACUUUUUUUUCUCUUUCUCUCCCUCUACUGUGCACGUUCUUCUUCUCCUCUCUUUCUUUUCUCAUCACUCCCUUCCUCUUCCUCUUCUUUCUUCUCUCUUCAUCUUCUUUAAAAAAAAUUACUGAUGAUUUGAUGAAGGUUACGGUUAUUUUUUACAUAGUUAUUUAUUUUAUUUUUUUCAGGUUAUAGAUCUAUAUACCAAGACGCAAACUGACUUUAAACCAUAUAAAAAGUGUUGUAGAUUUACAUAUAAGAUGGAAAAAGUUAAAUAACAUUGAUAAAAGAAAAGAAUUGAGGUUGAAUGAAUAAACUUUUGUUUGAAUAAUGGAUGAGGGUAGUGAAGAAAUUUGAGUUUUCAUUUGAAUGGUGGAUCUUGGAAAAGAAUGAUGAUGGAAGUUUUGCGUUUGAAGGGACAAAUCAAAUUUCUUUACUUUUCAAAGAGUUAGGUUGAACGACUGAUGAAUAGAUGAAAAAAAAUAAGGGUUUUGUGUUAGAAUUUUGGGUUUGGUAUGAAUAAAUGAGAGUGUUGUAGAUGAAAUCUGGGAGUAGAGAGAUAAAGAAUUACAAGAAAUAAGUAACAUGUUGUUUUGGUAUCUGAUAAGAGAUAAGAAAAUCUUGUGGAAGCAGUAAUGCUAAGACACGUGGGUGGGAAGAAAGAGAACAUGUGGUGAUAAAAAGAAAGAAAUAAUAAUCAAGAAGAUUUCUUUUGAGAUAGAAAAAGGAAUGAGAUAGAAAAAUUAUGAUUCUCAUUAAUUAUUUAGGGAUAAAAAAAAAUGAUUCUCAAUUAUUAUUA